rnacentral:rRNA from 1 species
GAUGAACGCUGGCGGCGUGCCUAAUACAUGCAAGUCGAGCGAACAGACGAGGAGCUUGCUCCUCUGACGUUAGCGGCGGACGGGUGAGUAACAGGAUAACCUACCUAUAAGACUGGGAUAACUUCGGGAAACCGGAGCUAAUACCGGAUAAUAUAUUGAACCGCAUGGUUCAAUAGUGAAAGACGGUUUUGCUGUCACUUAUAGAUGGAUCCGCGCCGCAUUAGCUAGUUGGUAAGGUAACGGCUUACCAAGGCAACGAUGCGUAGCCGACCUGAGAGGGUGAUCGGCCACACUGGAACUGAGACACGGUCCAGACUCCUACGGGAGGCAGCAGUAGGGAAUCUUCCGCAAUGGGCGAAAGCCUGACGGAGCAACGCCGCGUGAGUGAUGAAGGUCUUCGGAUCGUAAAACUCUGUUAUUAGGGAAGAACAAAUGUGUAAGUAACUAUGCACGUCUUGACGGUACCUAAUCAGAAAGCCACGGCUAACUACGUG